CCUGAUGUUCCGUCAUCAGUAGCCUACCGGCACAUGCGGGACUGGUAACGGUCCGGUGUGAAGCUGCCGGGACAAUGUAGCCGGGCCUUCGGGCCGUGUUGCCACCGUGAGGUGAAAACACUUCUGCGAGCACCAAUGCGGAAAGGCGC
rfam:Sphingomonas sanxanigenens DSM 19645 = NX02 plasmid pNXO2, complete sequence.